GUCUACUUCAAAAGGUGGCUGGGGAAUGAGAUGAGAUACUGCUCAGCAGGUGAUCAAGACAUGGUGGCUGGUGGCGUCUCUAGGAGCACCUUCCUCCUGUGUUCCAACGAGGGUGGGGGUCCCACAACAGGCUUGUGCUGUCAACAGUGGAGACAGGGCCAGGGUGAGGCGUCUUCCACAUCACCUGGACUCUGAAGGAGCUCUGGAUGCCGAAUGAGCCUCCCUGACCUGUGUGUGUGUGUGUGUGUGUUUACAGCACAGACAACCCCCAGGUUGGCCCAAGCCAUCUCCGUGUCACAGACCAAAAAGAACAGGAUGUUAUCACACUUGCCGUCAUUUAUCCAGUGGGUUCGAUGCACAGGGCACAGAGUCGCAAGUCACUUUUAAAGGACAGACAGCCUGUAAGUGACAGAGCUAGGCCUCAAGGCUGGGAGCUCACCGUGCCUCCUGCCAAGCCCAGCCAAGCUAAAGGUUUUGGCACCAAAGCAGGAAAGGCAGAAAUGCCAGGGGACAAAGCACUUUCACGCCUCAUUUAACCGUGUGACAUGCCUUCGAAAUCAAUAGAUCAUUAUCCUCACCUGGCAAAGGAGGCGAUCAGGCCUCGAGGAAGGAGAGCAGAUGCUGGCAUAGUGGGACCAGAACAAAGGUUUCCUGGUCCCCAGUCCUGCUGCCCUGUCCCCUCCACAAUGGCUCAGCUGGAGGCCGAAUACUGAGGAAGGUCAUCAUAGAGUGUGUCUUCCACACGGCUUAGGGGGCCGUGUUGUCACGGAGCUCACAGCCCUUCUGGAGACCUGCCGGAGGCUGGGUUCUUUGCAUCAUUUCCCUCGGUUCUCCUUUCACAGAUGAAGAGGCUGUGUUCUCUCUGCACACAGCCAGCAAGGACAGAUCCCAUGUCCUGGCCACUGGGUGACCCUCCUCACAUUAGAGGUGCCCUGACUGAGUGGAGGCCUUGGCCUCCCACGUUAACCACAGCAGCCCAGGGACAGCAUGCCGCGCAAACAUCUGUACGAACCAUCAGAACCAUCCUGGCUGUAAAAUGCAGUGAGGCCAUGCCAGAGCAUCCCAAGGGAAGGUCAGUCCUGUCGACACACAUCUAUUAGAACCUUAACUAAAUUCUUAGCUCCCUGAGGACAGGGACUAGUUCUGAUAUGUGUUUGUCACUCUGGGUUUCCAGCUCUAGAUGGACGCCUUAUAUACAGUAGGCACUUAUUAAAUGUUUGCUGACGGUCGUCCUGACUUCCCAAAUAAGUUUUUGCAAUGCUUCUUCCAAAGCUCUCCCUUUUCUUUUGUAAAGAUUGUGGUACCAUGCUGAUUUUUCCAAUUAGUACAGUAUCU
ensembl:lncRNA